rnacentral:misc_RNA from 1 species
GAAAUGCGAAAAGUAAUGUGAAUUGCAGAAUUCAGUGAAUCAUCGAAUCUUUGAACGCACAUUGCGCCUCUUGGUAUUCCUUGAGGCAUGUCUGUUCGAGCGCCGUUUAACGCCUAAAGCUUUGCUUUGUGUUGAACCUUUUGAAGUGAUUUCAAAAGUUCCAAAUGCGUUUGCCUGGUCAAAAGCGAAAAGCAAUCAACUGCAGACCGUGUAUGACGAUGGCAUAAAACGACCGCAUGGCCUCGAAUCAGAUAAGGCUACCCGCUGAACUUAA